AACUAAGUGAGCUACUUCGAAACAGCUGUAAGAGCUAACCCGUCUCUGUAGCAAAAGAGUGGGAUGAUUUCCAAGUAGAGGUGAUAAGCCUACCGAACUUAGAGAUAGCUGGUUGCUUAAGAAAAGAAUAUUAGUUCUGCCUUAAGUCUCCCCGAUAAACAAAAACUUAUACUAGACUUAAGAGUUACUCAAAUAAGGCACAGCUUAUUUGAAACAGGAUACAACCUUAAACAUCGGGUAAUUUUUUAUCGUUUGUAACAAGUGGGCCUAAAAGCAGCCACCUUUCAAAAAGCGUUAAAGCUUUGUACAUAUGAUACCUUAAUGUCAACAUAAACUUAAAACCCUUUAAUAAUAUUAAGCAACUCCAUAUACCUAUGGAAGCUAUUAUGCUAGAACUAGUAACAAGAAAUUGAAUUUCUCCAAAAUGUAAGCUUAAGCCACAAUUGACACCCUAUCGGCAAUUAACGUUCAUGAAACUACUGUAGCAACAACAUCAAGAAAACCCUACUUUCCUAGACGUUAACCUUACACUAGAACAUUUAUGGAAAGAUUAAAAGGGAAAGAAGGAACUCGGCAAAUCUUGACCCCGCCUG
rnacentral:rRNA from 1 species